rnacentral:lncRNA from 1 species
GUUUGACUGUUGCGGCAUGUGCAAGUAUGGUCUGUUAGGAUAGAAAGUUACUUGCAAAGCCUGGUUGCCCAGGAGGGAACCGGUUGUCGCAUGCCUCAGAAUCAUUCCUACAAAGCCAUGCUUGCUGUGAGGCUCCUUUGUUGUUGAAGGCCUGUCCUGUGCUUUCCUGCCGCAGCUAAGAAGCCAAGGUGCACUACAGCUUCUGGACGGCGGUUUUAGAGAGUAGGACAUUCUUGCACACUGAAGUUUGCCUAAAUGUGAAAGUCUCUGCUCCAGAAAAAAAGAACACUCAAACAAAAGUUGGCAGGACCUCUUCUUGAAUCUGCAGCUGGCCCCAUGACUGCCCUGAAGUUCACCUGCAUCUGCUUCCUUUGUACUUGAUUGAAGGUGGGUUGUUACACCAGUGUGGCUUUCCCUGUAGGUGCUGGGGCUCUAGAGUUCCGUUCUCCCAUUCCCAAGGCAGAUGCUUUACCCGCUGAGCCAUCUCCCCAGCCCCUCAUACGCUAUUAUCAAUAGCCUUAAAGCACUCUUCU